rnacentral:lncRNA from 1 species
UUUUCGCUUUCAGACCCCUGGUGUUAAAGACGUUCUGUGAGCGGGUGGGGCCGGGCGCCCCAGUCACGGCGGCCGCCGCCUCCUCUUCCCGCAGGACGGGACAGCGCCCCUGUGGAUCGCGUCCCAGAUGGGCCACAGCGAGGUGGUGCGGGUGAUGCUGCUGCGCGGAGCCGACCGCGACGCUGCGCGGAACGUGAGUGCCCGAGUCGCGCGGCCAAAGAGCGAAGCCUCCCGGCGCGCCUGUGUGGAGAAAACGGGUCUUGACUGAGUCUGCAGCCCACAUGGGUUUCCUCCCAACCUCCUUCCUUGAGCAGGAAAACAAAGUCAAGAUAAACCCUAAUGGCAGGCCGAAGUGGUUUCUUGGCUACGGGAGAAUUAUGGACUAAAUCCUCCAAACACAGCGACUGAUAUGUGAAAAUGGGAGAAAAAGGAAUUUGGAAACUGUGUUCUUGAGCCAAAAAAUAACGACAGAAGCUAAAUAUUAAUUUUUGAAUUUGGCUUUUCAUUCUUUUUAGCAGAUUUUAUUUUAUUUUUUUCUGAGACAGAGUCUCACUCUGUCACCCAGGCUGGAGUGCAG